ACGAGCGGCGAACGGGUGAGUAACACGUGAGCAACCUACCCUCAACUUCGGGAUAAGCCUCGGAAACAAGGUCUAAUACCGGAUAUCACUCCUUUCCUCAUGGUUUGGGGUUGAAAGUUCUGGCGGUUGGGGAUGGGCUCGCGGCCUAUCAGCUUGUUGGUGGGGUAAUGGCCUACCAAGGCGUCGACGGGUAGCCGGCCUGAGAGGGCGACCGGCCACACUGGGACUGAGACACGGCCCAGACUCCUACGGGAGGCAGCAGUGGGGAAUAUUGCGCAAUGGACGAAAGUCUGACGCAGCAACGCCGCGUGAGGGAUGACGGCCUUCGGGUUGUAAACCUCUUUCAGCAGGGACGAAGCGAGAGUGACGGUACCUGCAGAAGAAGGACCGGCCAACUACGUGCCAGCAGCCGCGGUAAUACGUAGGGUCCGAGCGUUGUCCGGAAUUAUUGGGCGUAAAGGGCUCGUAGGCGGUUCGUCACGUCGGGAGUGAAAACUCGGAGCUCAACUCCGAGCCUGCUUCCGAUACGGGCAGACUAGAGGUAGGCAGGGGAGAGCGGAACUCCUGGUGUAGCGGUGGAAUGCGCAGAUAUCAGGAAGAACACCGGUGGCGAAGGCGGCUCUCUGGGCCUUACCUGACGCUGAGGAGCGAAAGCGUGGGUAGCGAACAGGAUUAGAUACCCUGGUAGUCCACGCCGUAAACGUUGGGCGCUAGGUGUGGGGGACAUUCCACGUCCUCCGUGCCGCAGCUAACGCAUUAAGCGCCCCGCCUGGGGAGUACGGCCGCAAGGCUAAAACUCAAAGGAAUUGACGGGGGCCCGCACAAGCGGCGGAGCAUGCGGAUUAAUUCGAUGCAACGCGAAGAACCUUACCUGGGUUUGACAUAUAGGGAAAUCCUCCAGAGAUGGGGGGUCCGUAAGGGUCCUAUACAGGUGGUGCAUGGCUGUCGUCAGCUCGUGUCGUGAGAUGUUGGGUUAAGUCCCGCAACGAGCGCAACCCUCGUCCUAUGUUGCCAGCACGUUAUGGUGGGGACUCAUAGGAGACUGCCGGGGUCAACUCGGAGGAAGGUGGGGAUGACGUCAAGUCAUCAUGCCCCUUAUAUCCAGGGCUUCACGCAUGCUACAAUGGCCGGUACAAAGGGCUGCGAAACCGCAAGGUGGAGCGAAUCCCAAAAAGCCGGUCUCAGUUCGGAUUGGGGUCUGCAACUCGACCCCAUGAAGUCGGAGUCGCUAGUAAUCGCAGAUCAGCAACGCUGCGGUGAAUACGUUCCCGGGCCUUGUACACACCGCCCGUCACGUCAUGAAAGUCGGCAAC
rnacentral:rRNA from 1 species